GGACUAGCUGGGGUAUUGAUCAGCCGUUCAGCAGCCGGUAGAGCAGCAGCAGCAACAGCAAUGGAGCUGGCAGUGUUGGUGAGGCCUGGAGACAUCGGAGGCACUUGGCAUUGUUUGACAAGUUCAGAGUGACUCCGAGACUAGGUCAGGAUUUUAAUCUCAGAACUGGAGCCAUCCUGCCAAAAGAUGUUUCAAAAUUCUUGCUAAAGUUUAAAGUGCAUGCGAAACGUAUCAGCAUGACAGCAUCAUGAUAUAAUUCAGCAGAGUCGUGCAAAAUGAAAGGAGUUUUGAGUCACGCCUACAGGAAGGUCUCUGCAAUGUUAUGAUGUCUGUGGUGAGAAUGAAGAAGCAGUGGGAAAAACCGAAGGUUACAAAGAAAAAUGUUUUCUGGACCCUCCAUAAAAUUCUCUAAAGGAGGCUGGGACACUGUAAAAGUCCACAUCUGGGAUUAUCAAGGGGUUUUCAGUGCCCUCCCCCCCAGCAUAAAAAAAAUAAAUAAAGAAUCCCUGAGCCACAUAAAAGGAAAACCAAGGAAAAGAACUGUCAUAAUAACAUUGCUUUUCCUUGCAGCUCUGCUACUGUAAAUUCUUUUAAUCAGUUCCUCUGUUAAUUGGAAGAGCUGUGUGUUGUCUAACAGUCGUGGAUUUCAUUAUGCUUUCUUCAGUAAUUAUAUAUUUUAACUACAAAGUAUAGUCUAGGAAUACCAGACAAAACCCACCUCCACCACCUUCUCUGGGUACAGUUGAAGUUGCAAAUCAAACCACAUCUUUAGAAUGAGCAGCCUGAAUAGGCUGAACAAGCCACCAGCAUCUUAGUCAAGCCAAGACGAGCAAAGUACCUUUCUCAGGGGCUGGCAUGGGAGAAAAGGUGGUUAAAUGUUAGCUUGCAGGUGACCUACUUAGAAGAGUCUUGGGUAAAAAGAAACUACGGCAGAGCAAUUUACAGAUAGUCUUUGACUUACGGCAGUUUAUUUAGUGAUGGUUCAAAGUUACAAUGGCACUGAACUAGAAUAGAAUAAAGUAGAAUUUUUUAUUGGCCAAGUGUGAUUGGACACACAAGGAAUUUGUCUUGGUGCAUAUGCUCUCAGUGUACAUAAAAGAAAUCUUCAUCAAGGUACAACACUUACAACACUUAAUGAUAGUCAUAGGGUACAAAUUUAAUGACUUAUGACCAUUUUCCACAGUUACCACCUUUGGAGCAUCCCCCUGAUCAUGCAAUCAAAAUUCAAAUGCUUGGCAACUGUUUCAUACCUAUGACGGUUGCAGUGUCCCGGAGUCAUGUGAUCCCCUUUUGCAUCCUUCUGACAAGCAAAGUCUGCAGGGAAACCAGAUUCACUCAACAACCGGGUUACUAACUGCAGUGAUUCACUUAACAACUGUGGCAAGAAAGGUUGUAAAAUGGGGGCCCUUAACAAAUGUCUCACUUGCCAAUAGAAAUUUGAGACUCAAUUGUAGUCAUAAAUCGAGCUCAUUCAGCGGGCCUGUAGAAAUUCUUUUGAUGUGUAAUGACAGAAAAGCGGUCAUUUGAACCUCAAAACUAUGGUAGCUCUUUGAGGUAAAACAAAAUUGAGGACAUCUGCAUGUAUAUUUGGUGGAAAGGUCUAUUUUGGAUAAAAAGGUCUCAGUAUACAAAGGUAUAAAACCUUGGCUCCGAUUUAUCUUUUAAAACCCAUGACAAUAUAGUUUGGAUUAAUUAAAGGCAUUAUAAAACAGCAGACUGGCAUGAAGUUAUUAAUCAUAAUGAACUUAGUAUUGACUAAAAUCUGGCACAGCACAAAGAUGCACCUGAUCUUUGUAACGGGUUCA